rnacentral:rRNA from 1 species
CAGUAGCGAAGUUCCUGAUGUCACACUGCCAAGAAAAGCUUCUAGUGAGAAAGUAACUGCCCGUACCGCAAACCGACACAGGUAGUUGAGGAGAGAAUCCUAAGGUGUGCGAGAGAACUCUCGUUAAGGAACUCGGCAAAAUGACCCCGUAACUUCGGGAGAAGGGGUGCUGACCGCAAGGUCAGCCGCAGUGAAUAGGCCCAGGCGACUGUUUAUCAAAAACACAGGUCUCUGCAAAAUCGAAAGAUGACGUAUAGGGGCUGACGCCUGCCCGGUGCUGGAAGGUUAAGAGGAGAGGUUAGCGCGAGCGAAGCUUUGAAUUGAAGCCCCAGUAAACGGCGGCCGUAACUAUAACGGUCCUAAGGUAGCGAAAUUCCUUGUCGGGUAAGUUCCGACCCGCACGAAAGGCGUAACGAUUUGGGCACUGUCUCAACGAGAGACUCGGUGAAAUUAUAGUACCAGUGAAGAUGCUGGUUACCCGCGACAGGACGGAAAGACCCCAUGGAGCUUUACUGCAGUUUGAUAUUGCGUGUUUGUAUCACAUGUACAGGAUAGGUAGGAGCCGAAGAUACCGGGACGCCAGUCUCGGAGGAGGCAACGGUGGGAUACUACCCUUGUGAUAUGACCACUCUAACCCGCUGCUCUUAGCGAGCAGGGAGACAGUGUCAGACGGGCAGUUUGACUGGGGCGGUCGCCUCCAAAAAUGUAACGGAGGCGCCCAAAGGUUCCCUCAGAAUGGUUGGAAAUCAUUCGUAGAGUGUAAAGGCAGAAGGGAGCUUGACUGCGAGACCUACAAGUCGAGCAGGGACGAAAGUCGGGCUUAGUGAUCCGGUGGUUCCGCAUGGAAGGGCCAUCGCUCAACGGAUAAAAGCUACCCUGGGGAUAACAGGCUUAUCUCCCCCAAGAGUUCACAUCGACGGGGAGGUUUGGCACCUCGAUGUCGGCUCAUCGCAUCCUGUGGCUGUAGUCGGUCCCAAGGGUUGGGCUGUUCGCCCAUUAAAGCGGUACGCGAGCUGGGUUCAGAACGUCGUGAGACAGUUCGGUCCCUAUCCGUCGCGGGCGUUGGAAAUUUGAGAGGAGCUGUCCUUUGUACGAGAGGACCGGGAUGGACACACCGCUGGUGUACCAGUUGUUCUGCCAAGAGCAUCGCUGGGUAGCUAUGUGUGGACGGGAUAAACGCUGAAAGCAUCUAAGCGUGAAGCCCCCCUCAAGAUGAGGUUUCCCAUCACUUUAAGUGAGUAAGACCCCUGAGAGAUGAUCAGGUAGAUAGGUUGGGAGUGGAAGUACAGCGAUGUAUGGAGCGGACCAAUACUAAUCGGUCGAGGACUUAACC